GAUUACAAUGUAGAGUCCUACUAGAUGGCAAAUCACCAAUUUAACUUUUCUUGUUCAAGCAAUCUAAGUCAAGCACCGAAAAUGAGACGAUUUGACUAAAACGCAAGACCCGGAAGCUGUUAUUGUCCUCCUUUGGAACUCACCACGUUCAGACUGGACCUGAUUUAUCGCUCGUUGGUGGUAGGAGAACGAAAGCCUGCCAGCAAGUGAUUGGGUUUGAAAUUCCGUGUUUCACGCGAGAAGUUCCAAACCAAAUUCUCUGCUCCCCAGGACGACCAUCAGUGUGACCAUUGGACUUGUGUUAUUCGACACUCUUGGAAAGAAUAGAGAGCUUUCGCUGUAUACUUUCUAUUGACGGUAGAUGCCUUCUGAUUCAACUUUAACCAAGAUUAACCGUUUAUUCGAAGAAAGAGCAGCCUGCGAGCAGAAAUUCUGGUUUGGAAUUUCACGUUUCAUGCGAGAAAGUCCAAACCAAAGAGUCUGCUUAGCAGGACCUCAACAUGAUAUGACCGUUUCAUUUGACGCACGUGGUCAACGCACACAUCAAAAAAACGAAGGGUGUUUUUGCCGUUCACUUUUUACUGGUGGUCGGUGACAAAUUCAAUCAGAUUUCAUAGUUUAUUUGGGGAAGGAAGGCUAUAGCCUGCAAGCAAUAAUUCUGGUUUGGAAUUUCACGUUUCAUGAGAGAAAUUCCAAACCAGAGAGUCUGCUUAGCAGGACC